AGGGAAGAAAACUGCAGCUAAAACACCCCAGAAACAAAAGCAAAUUGCAACGACGUGAGUCACCCGGAAAGCUCUCUCCACCAGAUGCGACCCCAGCACAUGGAAUUGCGCCAUCCACUGUUAACACGCAUCUGCCCACCUGACUUAACCAAAUCCUUCACCGGUGUGCUCAAAGGCUUGUCUCCUAGGUGAUUCCAGAUCCUGUUAAGGUGGCAAUAUUUAGCCAUCACACACUUAUUCCACAGCAUGAUUAUAGGACCUUCUCUUUGGCCUCCUGAUGGAUGCUUCCAGCCUGAAGCUAUCACACACAGGGCAGAGGUAAAUAUUUACAUUCGAAUCUCUGUAUGAACAAACGUUUUUAUUUAUCCUGGACAAAUACCAAGGAAUUGAAGUAGUCUUUGGCAGAUUUAUGUUUAACUGGUUCAAAAUUGCCAGACUGGCUAAUGUGUCCUUACCCGUUUUGCGUGACCACAAAUGAAAAAUAGGACACCCCACCACUCAGAUCCUCCCCACCUCGGAUAGAGUUGGCAUUUUCAGGUCUGGUGUAUGACAUGGGUGUUACACAUAUGCACUCACAGCAACUGUGGUUACCUGCGUACAACCAGAUAACCAGACAACUAAAAGUCCAGUGUGAAUAGGGAAGGACUCCCAAAGCCCACCUCCAUUUGAGGAACUGCUGGUAGUUGACAGCUAUUGAAGGACAGUCACUUUCCUCUGUGGGAGUAGCCACUGGGAAGUCGCCAUGCCCCUGUGGGUAACCUCUCACCCACGCACAUAUGGGCAUUGAACGUACUAAAAAAAAAAAAAGACGACAUAAAAUCAGGAGGGAAAUGUGUUGCUGGGUAGGGUCUGGCAAGUUGGAGGAAGCAGGAAGUGGGAAUUGGAUAUGACCUAUGACCAAGAUGCAUUUUAUGCCUGCAUGGUAUUUUUCUUUUCUUUUUUUAAAGAUGUAUUUACUUAUUGUAUAUGAGUACACUGUUGCUCUCUUCAGACACACCAAAAGAGGGCAUCAGAUCCCACUAUAGAUGGUUGUGAGCCACCAUGUGGUUACUGGGAAUUGAACUCAGGACCUCUGGAAGAACAGACAGUUACCACUGAGCCAUCUCUCCAGCCCCUGAUAUUUUCUAAGAAUAAAUACAAGACAUUUUAAAAAUAAAAAUAGGCGGUUUUGAGAGCCCACACAGGCUUUAUUAUUAAUUACAGUGCUAGGCCAUUUCAUUUAAUUACACAGCUGAUAGAUUUUUGUUUUGUUUCUGGUGGGUUUUUUUUUUCCUUAAAAAAAGAAAAAUACUGGAACAAAAUGGCAAAAGAUGAACAGAUGGGUUCAAAUAAGAAAAUAUAAAUGGCUUUUAGUAUUAAAAGAUUGUCAGUCUUGUAGCAAGAAUUGUAGAAAUCAGAGGCAUGAAAAGAUAAUCUAUUCAUAGGGAAAGUAGCAAAAAACUUUUUAAAAUGAUAAGAGUUCCAACAUUGGUAGCGGGGACAUAAAUUGUCACAGUCAAUCAUCUCCAAGCAGGGUUUUGGCAGUCACUAUCAAAAUUAGAAGUGCUCAUAUCAUAUUCUUUAAUCAAGAGUUUCGCUAGCGAGGAUUUAUACUUUGGAUAUGUGACACGCGUGGGAGAUGACAUAUGUACUCAGUCAUUCUCACCGCAUUUGUGAUGGUAGGGUGGAUAUAUCCUGAGAGUUGGGGCCUGGAGUAAAGCCCAGGGCAUGUUUGUGGCAUCAGCAGCCCCACCCGUUCAGACCUUCCUUAGCUGUAUCCUUUCUCCACAUCAACAGGCAGUGUCCUCUUAACCACGGUCCCCUACGCCUUCAGUGUGUGAUUUGAGUAGACGUAUAGAUGUGAUUCAGGCAGCUUCCUUAAAGGAUUUGCUAGGAUUGGGAUGGCUCGCUCUUGUGGGUUUUUGUUGCCAGGAGAAUAGCACACUCAGCUAUUCUACUGGUCUUGGGAGGAAGUUAAAAAAAAAAAAAGAAAGAAAAAGAAAUCUGUCUUCAAGUAAGUUGGUCCAGCUCAGCUCAGCCUAUGGUAGAACUCAACAGUCAUUUUGCAGAAGCACCAGCAUGUGUGUGUCCAGGUUAAUCUAAGCCAACUCACAUCCAGUUCUUACCAGACCAUAAGCACACAGCUCUGUCCUACACCACUGAGUUCCAGGGUGAUUUGGUGCACAGAAGUGAUUAUUAACCCACUCUACAAUAGAUACCACUUACCCCAAAGAGUUAUUGGAGCAAUGGAGAAGUCUCUGAGAAUUAUUGUUAAGCUAAAGAUAUACAAUGUUCUCUUAUUGUUGAAAAGCAGUCUGUCCAUACUUAGAAAUGUGUGUGUGCAUGCACAUGAGCACAUGCUCGUGCAUGCGUGCGCACACACACACACACACACACACACACACACACACACACACACAUGUCCCACGCGCGACCUCGCCAGCAAGAAAACACGCAGGGACAUACGAAUCCUUGCGACAGCCAAAACCUAUUAUUAAAUCUUAAAGAGAGAGUCCCGCGCGCCCGCAUGGCGCGGCUUAUAUACACCCUAGCGCGGCGCAUCCACACCUGAUUGGUCGCUCACCCAUGAUCUCAUAAGGCACGCCCCGGAGUGGGCAAAGACCUGGCAUGAAGGCACUCUUGCACAUGCGCACACAGUUAACUUCCCGAAAGGAAGUUGGCUGUCACAGCGGACGCCAGCGCCAUCUCGUAAUGGUGGAGGCUAUCCUGGCCUUCCACGUGGGGCGCAGUGGAAACCAGCGCCAUCUUGUGGUGGCGAAUGUUAAAGUGGCCCUUUACACACACACACACACACACACACACACACACACACACACACACACACACACACCACUAAUACAAGUUUGUUGCCUACCUUUGAGAGAAAGAGUGGAAAGAGGCUUUUUACUGUGUGCCUUUCUAUCACUUUAGUUACUUUCUUUUAUAAAGAGACAGCUGUGUUAGUCGUGAAUUCCUAGACUCAAAUGAUACUUCUGCCUCAGCCUUCUGAGUAGCUGCGGCUAGGUCUACCCCCAUCCCUUGUGACAUAUCAAGAUUUUCAACUCUUUCUGUGUAUCAGAUAAUUUUUUAAAGAUUAAUUAUUUUUCAAGAUGGAGGCUAUGGAUAGUAUUUAAUGAAAUCUAAUAGAAUGGGGGAAAGAACAUAGGGCCACUUGGGUGUUUCUUCCCUAGUGAAGACCUAGAGGGCUUCUUCCCUUUUCUCUGAAAUCAGGAGUCUUCAGGCUUUAUCUAGAUGUAGAACUUUUAAUUUAUUACUGUCCUGAUAGCUAGAAAAUAGAUGUAAACAGUUCUUAAAUUUAACCAUAACAACCUUAACGGCCCUAUUUAAACAAUGGGGAAGUGAAUGGAUGAGGCAUUUCAAGAAAGAAGAUUCAUCAACGAGAUAAAUAAGCACAUUAGAAGCCAGCCAUGAGGCAUCACGAGUCAACAAGGAGUACAGAGGCCUACCAUAGAUCGUGCAGAGGCCAGCCUUCCUCAGCACACCUCCUCAUCUUCUGUCUCUUACAUUCCUUCUGUUUCCUUUUCUGGGGUGUUUGUUCAGUCUUGAGGGUUGAGGUGGGCAUUGAUAGAGUCGAACCAUAUAAGGCUGAGCACUUUUUCCCAGCACUUUGAUGAGUUAGGUCUCUGCAUUAAUUGCAUCCUGCUACUAGGAAGCUCCUCUAACAAAAAUUGGAAGCAGCACAACACUAUGGAAAUAAACAUAAAUAUUUAAAAGGCAGUUUGACAACGUGACCUUUCAGGAAAACAAUAUCAAUAUGACUGUGACAUCCCCAGCCACAUUUUUGAUGGUGUUUACAGCUGCAGGCAUAAAUUGCCCCCUGUGGAGCAGGUGUCACUUCCAACUGAGAGAACAGUUGGUCAUUCCCCUAAGCAGUCUUGCCACUAUCACACCAGUGGGUGUAUCUUGCGUGGUAGUUUGGAAUAGUAAAAGGCAGGGUCCAGUGCAGGAUUAAAAACCACUGAGGCCUUUUCUCAAAAGUAGCCUACAUAAGCAUCGUGAAAUACACCCGGCAGGAAAAGCUCACUUCUAAGUUUCUAGAAAGGACAAUUUUUACACCGUGGAGCUCCUGUGCUGCUUCGGGGCCCCUUAUCCUAGCACUCCUUGUGGCAUAAUGUUGGGGAUUAGGUCUAAUGCUCGGUCUUAAUUCAGCUCCCCAAAUCACAUGGGAAUCUGAAUGUCCAGAUGCUGAGGGUCCUUGUCCCCAACUGGUUUUUGAUUGAUAAAUAACGAGACAGCGGCCAGUGGCUGAGCAGAGUGAAAGAGGUUAAGACUUUUAGGAUUCCCAGGCAAGAAAUGCAGGAGGGAAGAAGGGACUCAACCAUGAAAGGGACCUCGCCAGCCAUGUUGGGGAAGCAGAGAGAUCAGGUCCGAUGACAUGUAAGAAUCCAGGGAAGUGGCCCCAAGGGGCCACUGCCCCAUUUGAGUCUAGGGAACCAAAGAUAAAAUACAGAUUUAGAAAAUGUUAACUCAGAAAUACCAGAGGGGAGUGUGGGGGGAGGUUUAGAAGUGCCCAACCA